rnacentral:rRNA from 1 species
UACGAAGGGGGCUAGCGUUGCUCGGAAUCACUGGGCGUAAAGCGCACGUAGGCGGAUUGCCAAGUCGGGGGUGAAAUCCUGGAGCUCAACUCCAGAACUGCCUUCGAUACUGGCGAUCUUGGAGUCCGGGAGAGGUGAGUGGAACUGCGAGUGUAGAGGUGAAAUUCGUAGAUAUUCGCAAGAACACCAGUGGCGAAGGCGGCUCACUGGCCCGGUACUGACGCUGAGGUGCGAAAGCGUGGGGAGCAAACAGG